AAGGUUAUGGCGUGUCGCGGCGCAUUUCAACUCGCAUCCUCGUCGUUCCGUACGGGUUUUUGACGCGUGCAAGUGUUUCGAGAAUGCCGUAGAGUGUCGAAAGUGAAGUGUGAAAUGUCGGGCGUUCGUGCAAACAUUCGUCGUGUCGGAUACGAUGUAUGGUGCGAAGUCGUGUCGUGUUCAAUCGUGUUUCGCAUCUUCUGAGAAGAAUAUCAAAAUUCGAGAUUAAUGUUUCGUUGUAAUUUUUGCUUAACAGGCAACGAUUAUUUCACUCGGAAAGACAAUGAAAUUUAAACGCGUACCGAUUAUUUGACAUCAUGACAAAGCGGCUAGCUUGCGCGUUGAGUGAUUGAACAUGAUUGUUUUCCUCCAAUUCUCACCCGCAGAUUCUCAUCCGAGUCAUCCGACUAAUCACAUUCUACCAUUUGAUGAGUGACUGAAGUGUUUGAACGCUUGCCGUAGUUCGGCCAUGAUGUUUUCGCGUGAGGAGUUGGUGGAUGCGCUCAACGCAACGGACGCGGGACGGAUCGGUUCCGGAACGGAGGCGUUAUCGCGGCUUCGUUUUAACAAAAUAUGGGGGACACGAUGCAAAUCAGAGCGGGAGCGAGUGGCGUCGCAAUUUGUUUAAUAAAAUGCAGUGGACACUUUUACAAGAUGCGAAAUAAAGUGGGUCCGGAACGAGUGAUAUCGCUACUUCAAUUAAACGUGGCGAAUGCGAGAUAGUCUUGCUCCAGAACGAGUGGAAACGCAAUUUAUUUUGAUAACUUGUGAAAAGAAGAAAGAAGAGAGCAGAAGUUGGACAAUUCCCCAAAACAGGAGUCCUACAAGAGGCGCCGGUGUCGGUAAAGUAACUUAGAGCGAAUUUUUUCCAUAUAUAAAGUUGACGUACAUAUAUUUGUCGAUUAAAAUAAAAAUAAACGAACAGCAAUCUGGUCGUCGCGUCGCGCGUUUGUUCCGGGAGUGCCGUUUAAAGUAAUUGGACUUAAUUAGUCCACGGGCGUAAUGUCAGGAUAUUUAACGCGAGUGUUUCGCGAGUGCAACGGGACGAGGAGACUCGAUAACCUGGAUCUGAGAGGAGGAGACC
rnacentral:lncRNA from 13 species